rnacentral:rRNA from 1 species
GAAAAGAAACCAACAGGGAUUGCCUCAGUAACGGCGAGUGAAGCGGCAAGAGCUCAAAUUUGAAAUCUGGCGCCCCGGGUGUCCGAGUUGUAAUUUGGAGAGGCAUCUUCUGGUGGGGCCGGGCCUAUGUUCCUUGGAACAGGACGUCAUAGAGGGUGAGAAUCCCGUUUGUGGCUUGGUGCCCCCACCUGUAUGUAGUGUCUUCUACGAGUCGAGUUGUUUGGGAAUGCAGCUCAAAAUGGGUGGUAAAUUUCAUCUAAAGCUAAAUAUUGGCGAGAGACCGAUAGCGCACAAGUAGAGUGAUCGAAAGAUGAAAAGCACUUUGAAAAUAGAGUCAAACAGUACGUGAAAUUGUUGAAAGGGAAGCGCUUGAGACCAGACUCGGCCUAGGGCAAACAUCCUUCCUUCUGGUUGGUGCACUUGCCCCUGGCUGGGCCAGCAUCAGUUGGGUCGGCGGGACAAAGGUCCGGGGAAUGUGGCUCCCUCGGGGAGUGUUAUAGCCCCGGAUACCAUGCCGCCCGGCCCGACUGAGGACCGCGCCCGGCUAGGAUGCUGGCGUAAUGGUCUUCA